AGGUACCGUCAUGCUAGAAUCAUUUCCUAUUCUAACUAUUCUUCCCUGAUAACAGAACUUUACGAUCCGAAGACCUUCAUCAUUCACGCGGCAUUGCUCGGUCAGGCUUUCGCCCAUUGCCGAAAAUUCCCUA
rnacentral:rRNA from 1 species